rnacentral:rRNA from 1 species
CAGUAGCCACGGUAAAACGUAGGGUGCGAGCGUUGUCCGGAAUUACUGGGCGUAAAGGGCUCGUAGGUGGUUUGUCGCGUCGUCUGUGAAAUUCUGGGGCUUAACUCCGGGCGUGCAGGCGAUACGGGCAUAACUUGAGUGCUGUAGGGGUAACUGGAAUUCCUGGUGUAGCGGUGAAAUGCGCAGAUAUCAGGAGGAACACCGAUGGCGAAGGCAGGUUACUGGGCAGUUACUGACGCUGAGGAGCGAAAGCAUGGGUAGCGAACAGGAUUAGACCCCAGUAGUCCCUGUCUCUUAUACA